UAGGGGUUUCACAUGCAAAUAUUUCAUGCGUGUAUCCAUUGCAUGAUACACGCGUGUGCAUGCUUCUCCCAUUUCUUCGAUAUGCUUCUUCCCAAGUUCGAAGGGAGAGCCCCUCUUCGAGAGAGCUCCUUCGCGUUUCGAUUUUCCCUGCCGUUCGAGAUGCUUCUUCCCAAGUUCGAAGGGAGAGCUCCUUUGUGCCUUUCUCCUCUUUGCGUAGAUCUGAUCGAUGGCUGUCCGAAGGAGAGCCUGUCAAUGAAAAUGCUAGCUGUUUCACCGGCACGCUUCAACAUUACCGGCGAGACCAAGUGUUGUAGUAGCAUCAUCGGCUCUGAUCUCUCCAUCAUCUUUCUUUUUUUUGUUUUUUUGCUCUCCCCACAUCACCCCUCUCGCACUUUCUCUCUCUCCCCCUCUCUCCCUAUUUCGGUUUUUUAGGUUUCCCCUUCUCUUGCUUCCGGCAGUAGCAGUAACAGUGGCAAACCUUGCCUUCUCUCUCACGAUUUUCUCUCUCUCCCUCUCUCUCCCCCCCUCUCUCUCAAUGGCGGUGAUCGAAAGAGCUUUCCGCCUGCAAAUGUGGUAUAUUUUUUAACAUGCAAGAACGGCGAAACAUCAGUGAGACCAAGUGUUGUAGUAGCAUCACCGGCUCCGAUCUCUCCGUCAUCUUCCAAUGCUUCUGCUCGGAAGAUGAUGAAACCUAUUGGAAAUAAGGAGAGGGUUCUUGAUCUGUAGCUUGAUUUAGAGAAGGUUGAUAGGGAAAGUUGUAGUAUUGGUGGCACCAAACAGCAACAACCGCAGCAAGUUCAACAGCAGCAGCCACCUCCUCCGCCGCCAACUCUACCAAAAUCUAGAAGAAAUGAUUUGAAGGCGGAGAAACCUGCUCAAUUCACCUCUUUUCCGUUGCCGAUGACUAUAGCUGGCUGGCCAGGCGGGCUUACUUCUCUGGAUACAUGCCACCACUUCAAGCUGUUGUGUCCAUGGAUGGGAGUUCUGGAUCUUCGACGCCUGGCCAGGUACCACAUUUGUUUCUCUCUCAACAGCGACCAAAGAGGUGCGCAACUCAUUACCACAUUGCUCGGAGCAUCUACUGUCAUCAGUAGUUUACAAGGACGAAUCCUUUCUGGCAUGCAGUUGCUGGUUCUGCAUCUUUUUAUGGGGCCAAGCCAUACAAUCUCAAUGUUGUGCCCCUGACAGAAAUCACUAUUCUUGGAAACCCAUUGCAGGGAAGCUUACCAAGUAGGAAUUUGAACUCGGUUUCAGACAAGGGCCAAGUUGCUAGCACAUUUUCUGGUCAUACUACGAAGGAUAAGAACUCUGCAGCGGCUACACCCAACUUUGUGGAUGCCUAGAGAAAGCAGCAUGUGCUCCAGCAAGCUCCACAGUCUGCUUCUUCUGGAAAUCUGCUGCUUGUUUAUUCUAAACUCAGUUGUCAUCCCAACGCUACAAUGGAUUUCGCCUGAUGAAUGCCAAA